rnacentral:miRNA from 1 species
UUUUUUCUUAUGUCGUCAUGU